AGCAGCCGCGGUAAUUCCAGCUCCAAUAGCGUAUAUUAAAGUUGUUGCAGUUAAAAAGCUCGUAGUUGAAUUUCGGGACUAAUAUGUCGGUCGUACUUUGUACGUACUAGCAUUAUUGGUUUCUCCCUUCUGACGAACCACGAUGUCAUUAAUUUGGUGUCAUGGGAAAUCAGGACUGUUACUUUGAAAAAAUUAGAGUGUUUAAAGCAAGCUCGCGCUUGAAUACAUUAGCAUGGAAUAAUGAAAUAGGACGUUUGAUUCUAUUUUGUUGGUUUCUAGGAUCGACGUAAUGAUUAAUAGGGAUAGUUGGGGGCAUUAGUAUUCAAUUGUCAGAGGUGAAAUUCUUGGAUUUAUUGAAGACUAACUACUGCGAAAGCAUUUGCCAAGGAUGUUUUCAUUAAUCAAGAACGAAAGUUAGGGGAUCGAAGACGAUCAGAUACCGUCGUAGUC
rnacentral:rRNA from 1 species